rnacentral:misc_RNA from 1 species
AAGUCGUAACAAGGUUUCCGUAGGUGAACCUGCGGAAGGAUCAUUAUAAAGAUUAAUCUUUCCAAACCGAAAGAUCUUUUCCUUUGUGCUGGCUUUGAACCAAUGUAAUUUUAGGACUUUAAAAUGGUUUCGAUUUUGUAAAAAGAGCGAGCCGGUCCCAAAAAACAUUAUCUCAUCCUUAUGAAAAUUUUCUGAACUUACACAAGUGAUUUUAAUAAUCUGUUUAAAACAACUUUCAACAACGGAUCUCUUGGUUCUC